AGGUGUUCUCAACUGAUCAAACUAAAAUCUUGUAGUCUUAAUGUUUAAUCCCAUAAAUUUUUAAAAAUCAGGUCAACGUGAUAUUAGUUUGUGGUUUGUAUUUAUUAUUUCGGCCAAAAAUCACACACAAAAUGCAUGUGCAGCUAGUACAAGCAUGUUGUGAAAGUUUCUUAUGGAUCUUUAAGCCACCUGCAAGUCCGACAAAAUUCACUUGCAGACGGUCAAAAAAUAGUCAAGCAUAAAUCCAAGGCAACUCAAGUGCCGGCCAUUUCAGGGGGUCAAGUGUAAAGUUAAACAAAAACGCUUAGCUAGGGAAGGCUAGGGGUAUGGAAGGAACUGCCUUGGCCAGGAUUUGUGCUGCGACAUGGCCUUUUGUUGGAGCUGCCAGGGAUGUCCGCACGAAUAUUCACAUUACACAGCGUGGACACGGAGAAAUGAGCGAAGGAUGCGCAGUAGGCGAGGGAUGCGGAGUGGCGACCCUCAAGUGGCAGCAGUGGCCAAAACGAUGUCAACUCAAAAAUGGGGAAAAAAGAAACUAAUUUCAUAAGAUGGUGUCAACUGCAACUUUUUCGUGAGAGGCUCUCCUCUCGUCCGCCCCUCGAGCAUUUUCCGCCACUGCUCGAGUGCUCUCCGGACUGCAUUAAACGGCCGGGAGAGAAAGCCGGGAAAGCUGGGAAAGCUGAUGAUGGCCACUGCCGAGAGCUAAAUGCACUGGCAGAUUACCACAAACAAAAAGCAGAGAAAAUUCCGCACGCAACCCCUAAUGAGCCUCUUAGUUGAAAACUCAUAAUCAGCACAAAACUCACUCGUUCGAAUAUCCAAGGCACUGAAAAAAAAAGAAGUUAUGGACAGUCCACCAAAGAAUGUAUCCACCUGAAUUGCCAUGGAAAUGGCGCAAUCCAUUCAAAUAUGUUUGAUUCGCUUCCCUUAAUUCAAUCGCCUCAUACACGCGUACGCGAACAAAGACAAAACAGUUAAUUAAACCGAAAAAAUGCCUCAAUCAAAA
ensembl:ncRNA lncRNA:CR44055 long non-coding RNA:CR44055